CAACGGGACAGUUCAAAGGCAGCGCUAUACUUAUUAGGGUUCGCAGUCCUAAGUUUCAAGUAAUGUCACGUUUUCGGUAGCGUGGGAAUAGUUUAACGUUAGGUCAACACCAGGAACCAGUUGGUUUGUAAGCUAACCAAACUUAACUCUGGGUUAAAACGUCAACCCGAACAACCUAACGGAUUGUUUAUAAACUUUAGAAAUAUAUUUUCGAGAAAUCGUGUCUGGAUCGAUAGAACUUUUAUUUUCUGAAGUUUUGAAAUGAACAGACAUGCAGAAAUUCACAAACCAAAACAGCGGAUUAAAUUUUAACCUAGGAUUAGCGCUAAUCUUGCUUUGAACAACCGUCACCAGGGCUACGCGUGCAGUUUCUUUCUUAGUGAAAUUUUAUUGCGUCGGUGGGGCAAGAGAAGAAAUCUCACGUCUCUCAUGUUCUGCACAACAACAUAAUACACCCUUCGUGAAAAUACGUCACUUUGGCUAUAGACCGAUUGGAAAACUAGCUGCCACUACUUUGCAUUAUUUUCUACUCUAUUAUCAGGCGAAUCAAACAAUUUUACUAGAGGAACUGCUUAUGAAAGCAACGUCUUAAAGUUGAAGAUUGAAAACAAGUUGUGUAAGCAAAAUUUAAAGCUCUUUGUAAGGACUAAAAAGCACCAAAACGAGGCUAGUCAGUUUUCUUUGCUGAAUCUAGCUUAAACUUCGGUAUUUUUAAGAUUUAAUUUCUCACAGAAAAUACAUGCUAUUAUGUUUAUACUUUGAAAGACUGUUAUUCUUGAAGUAUUCUAUAAGGCAGCAGUGAUUAUCUUGGCUGAAAUUACUUUCUGUAGAAAAAAGAAUGACAACCAUUUUUUGAAUCCGUGUAUAGAGCCUCGUUUUCAUGUAUCUAACAUUAGUUAAAUCCCAACAUCUGAAUCAUGAAAACGAGGCUCUAUAGUCAAGAUGACGUUCUUUCUGGAAGCGUGUAUUGUAACUUGACGUCUUCAGUUACCUCGGUGCAUUUAAGUGCAUAUGAAGCGAAUAUUUUUAUUAUUUCCCUAGAAAACCACUUUGAAAUGAACACUAUUGUCAAUAUCUAUUUUGAUUGAGAAGUUAUUGAAGUUUCUAUAUUUUUAUUGAUGACGUUACAUUGUUUGCACAGGUCAUGUGACUAAAACAAAUUAGCUUCAUUCUCUGGCAAUACUCAGUAGAAAUGGAUGAAACUUUCAUAUAACACUUACACAAUUGUUGCAGGGAUUUUGAGUGGAAUUUUUAUACAUUUUAAUUCUAUUUAACGAGGAACAGUUGUGAAAAAUACAACUGUAGAUCCUCUGACAGGAAUUGAACCUGCGGCUCUGCAAUCUCUUCAACAAUUAGUUCUAUCACGUGAGAUUUCUAAAAUCCUGAUAUUUCUUCAUACACUUUUAGAAUUACACAUUGUUGCAACAGAGAUGCUGUUGUCAUGGAAACAUUUUCAGCCCCAGUCCUCUCACUAUAAAUCUCUAAUCUGUUUUAUGGGUUUGGUAUAGAUUGAACUGCGAAAUCUAUCUUUUUUAUAGUAUUGAAUUGAAUUUAUUGAUUGACAUUCCCUAAAAUGGGCUUUUCAAUGACAAUUUACAAAGAUUUUAAAAUAAAGUAUGAAUUAUCGACUAUAUUUACAACAAUCUUAUCAAAGUUAUUACGUGAACUAAAAUUAUACUAUAUAUUAUAGUUUAUGAGUUAAAAAAGUUGAAAAAAAGGACAUCGCUUAGUAAGGGAUAGUGUGCAUAAUCUCUUCAUCAUUUUAGCAAUUUGAUAUCGUUAAACACUGCAAUAAAUUAGAACUUCGUUCUCCUGGCAGAGAGGAUCUGGAACUAAGUGUGUUACCAUAACGACAACAUAACUGCAGUAGUGAUGUGUAUUUUCAUGAGUACCACACACGUUCGGAGUUUCCACUAUUUCUACAGAAUACAUGCAGAGAUAUAAGCUAAUUUAUGACAUAUCACGUGGUCAGUGCAAACCAUGUGACGUUAUCGAUAAAAACGCAAAAACUUCAGUAACUCCUGAACGAAAAUAGAUCUUGUUCAUUUUAAAGGGGCGUUCUAGGGAUAUAAUGAUCACUUCAUACGCACUUUAAUAUAUAUUUUUGGAUUUCACGAUCGUUGCUCAAUCAAAACAGAGAAGAUAUAUACUUUUAGAUCAAAUGUUACUCUUCCAGAGAGGUUUUUAACUAUUAUCGAUCAAGUAACAUUUUUAUCCAUCGAAUUAAUAACAUGUUCCUACAUAAUAGUGUUAAUUGACAAUAUAAAACAUAUAGUCAGUGUGAACAUUGGAGAUCAAAUGAUCAAUAUGAACAAUUAUUACUUAGCGUAUAUUAUGUAAUUCAAAAAUUGUAGUUUAUCAAACGUUUAUAGACAAUCAGAUUGAUUGAAACCUUGCUGGUCAGUCAUAUUAAAUUUAAACUAUUAAACUAUGAAUUGGAUAGCAAGGGAAAAACUCAAAUAUUGGAG
rnacentral:lncRNA from 1 species